AUUGAACGCUGGCGGCAGGCCUAACACAUGCAAGUCGAACGAGUGGCGGACGGGUGAGUAAUGUCUGGGAAACUGCCUGAUGGAGGGGGAUAACUACUGGAAACGGUAGCUAAUACCGCAUACCAUCGGAUGUGCCCAGAUGGGAUUAGCUAGUAGGUGGGGUAAAGGCUCACCUAGGCGACGAUCCCUAGCUGGUCUGUGAGGAUGACUGGCCACACGCGAACUGAGACACGGUCCAUACUCCUACGGGAGGCAGCAGGGGGGAAGAUGGCACAAUGGGUGCAAGCCGGAUGCAGCCAUGCCGCGUGUAUGAAGAAGGCCUUCGGGUUGUAAAGUACGUUCAGCGGGGAGGCGUUACCCGCAGAAGAAGCACCGGCUAACUCCGUGCCAGCAGCCGCGGUAAUAC
rnacentral:rRNA from 1 species